rnacentral:rRNA from 1 species
CCCUUAGAUGUUCUGGGCUGCACACGUGCUACACUGGCAGGUUCAGCGAGCUUCAUGCCCUGAUCUGAAAGGAAUGGGAAAUCUUUUCAAAACCUGCCGUGCUUGGGAUAGAUGUUUGCAAUUAUUCAUCUUCAACGAGGAUUGCCUUGUAAGCGCACGUCAUCAGCGUGCAUUGAAUACGACCCUGUAUUCUGUACACACCGCCCGUCGCUCCUACCGAUUGAAGUUUUCGGUGAGUUGACAGGAGGAUUUUUUUGAAACUGGUUCGCCAGUGGAUUUUCGAUCCAAAUGCCAACGAAUCGAUGGCUUUAGAGGAAGGAGAAGUCGUAACA